UCUAUUUUUUUCAGAGUUCUCCGAUCAUGAAGGAAGAGACGGUGGAGUCUCCAUAACAGCUUUUUCCCUUUUCCCUUGACUUUUCAUUUAUUCCAUAAGUCCUCUUCUAUCAAAAAGGCCAGAUCUUAGAGUAAUUCUCAUAAGUUAAAGACAUAUGAAAAAGAAUGGCCUUAUUGGAAGAGAGUUAGCCAAAAUUUCAGAACCAGUGGACUUUCCGGGACUCACACCAUCCAAUGCCUACUUCAUGUCCUGAUAUCUGGAUCCAAAGACAAAGAUUCAUAUGUGACAAAGUUUGUGUUCUUGAAGACACCUGCCCAUCAGUCUGGUAAAUGAAAAAACCAAAUCAAGAUCUCUAAACAGGGCUCAAUUUAGAUGACUUGCUCCACCAUGACAGCAAAGAAAGGAAUCGAUAAGACGUAGUUUGGUGAGAUAUCUGGUCUUAAUGACAUUUCACAACUAAUUUGCUUAUCAGGGGUCAAACACAACCAAGGGACUACAAUAUGUAUUCGAAAUGAUAAGGUAAGUCAAAAAUGAAACACAGAUGGUAUUUUCAAGGUGUACACAAAUCUAAUAAGGACAGUAAAGCAAAAUAAAUGUUAUCAUAUAAUUCUGAAAGGGGCAAAAUGUUAUAAAGUCAGAGGUUGUGUGGAAGAUAUCUGGAGAAUGAGAAGGGUGUGGGGAGGAAAGUAGAUGGCUAGGGUUGGUUUGACAGAGAAUAAUAUUUGAAUUGGAGCUUUCCUAGAGACCUGAGUUAGAAAGUUUCGGGCCUGAGAAAAAAGUAUGUGUAACUGUAUUAUUGUAAAGAGUGACAUAAGGAAGCUCUUCACACUCUUCAGAGUUGCUCAAGCUUAGGGUGAGUUGUUAGCAAAGAAAGACUAGUAGGAUUUAGAGGAAUAUGGGACUGAGUGUCAAGGAAACACUCAGCAGUUUGGGGACUACAGGAAGAACUAGAUGUGAUUAAUGAACAUAUUCAUAUUCGUAUUUAAGCAAGGUCACUCAAACUGCAGAUAAAAAUGAUAUUUAGUAUUGUCUUAAACAAUCAGUAGAUAUUCUGACAACAUCUGUAGAGGCCCAGAACAUUUCUCUGUACUAUGUUUUCUCCUUAGACUUGCACCUUAGCUUUUCUUUUUAAUCCUGCCUUCCACCCAGGGUAAACAAAAUCUCCCCCUGUGUCGUAUCUCUCUAAGUCUCAGUUCAUCUUUUCUUCAGAAAACCUGCAUCUUACUUGGAACAUCUUCUGGGUCAGCUGCAUGAGUGUUUUGUUAUUAACUCAGAAGAUGACAUAAUAUUGGAAUGACCAAAAGCUGGCAUGAAGAAUGAAGAUCAUAAAAGCAAGGUAGAAAAACUUGGUGAAUGUUCAACAAGGUCUGUAUUUUUCUGGACUCAACUUGUGGCUGCUCAUGUUUCCCACAUCAUAUCCAUGGAAGAUGAGGAAUCUAGA